rnacentral:rRNA from 1 species
UACUGCAUAAAUACCCUAAAGGCACCAGAUCCCAUCUGAUCUUGGAAGCUAAGGAGGGUUGGAUCUGCUUAGUAUUUCAAUGGGAAACUGCCAAUGAAUGCCAGAUGCUGCAGGCU